UGCAGAGGCGAAGAGACCCCAAGCCC
rnacentral:piRNA from 1 species